rnacentral:lncRNA from 1 species
ACGCAAAUAAUCACUGUAAAGACGUCUCAAAGGUAAUGGUUUAUCAACGUUAGACAUUAGCUGCUUUUUCAACGAAUUUAAACUAUUUGAAAAACAUCACUUAUUCAACGCUAUUUCAACGUUGGUUGAAAAUGUGCUUAUUAAAAAACGUUGAAAAAGUGUUACUUUGCCAACGUUAAUAAAACGUUGUUUUGACAAUGUUGAGGAAGUGGCACAUUGAAAAUUAUUGUCUCAAUAACUAGCCAUUACAAAAAUAAUUUGCCGUAAUGGAAAGGCAAGGAAAACUUAAUAGAAUGCAUGCAUAUGGUUUGAAGCAGAGGCAGUUGCUCCAUCUUGUUCGAAAAAAGAUGGAUGGUUAUUUUGGCCAACUUGUGUUCAUGCAAUGAAAGCUACCUAUAAUAAUUUUCCAAUCAUUGAUUCCUGCAACAAGCUUAGAUAUAAAAGAGUUAAAGUAACUGUUUUUACAUAAUUUUGUUUAUAUUUAUUUUACUAAAUAAUUACUAAUAAAGAAGUAUGUGCAGGAUUUAAUUUCACGACUAAAGAGGACUCCGAAGAAGAAUUAAAGUUCUGGUGGAUCAAAGAUUGAGGAAUGAUUUGGUUUUAACUGGUUUGCAUCUAAUGAACGAAGUGCAUAAUAUGAUUUAAAUUGAUGAUUUAUAGUUACACCUAUUGAAAUUCUGUAUCUAAAUGAUAUCCUGGCUUAUCGAUACGAUAUCCUGUAAAUCCACUCACA